UACGUAGGGGGCUAGCGUUGUCCGGAAUCAUUGGGCGUAAAGAGCGCGUAGGCGGCCAGAUAAGUCCGGUGUGAAAGUCACAGGCUCAACCUGUGAAUGCCGCUGGAAACUGUCUGGCUUGAGUCCGGAAGGGGCGAGUGGAAUUCCUGGUGUAGCGGUGAAAUGCGCAGAUAUCAGGAGGAACACCAAUGGCGAAGGCAGCUCGCUGGAACGGUACUGACGCUGAGACGCGAAAGCUAGGGGAGCGAACAGG
rnacentral:rRNA from 1 species